UGAGGAAUAUUGCACAAUGGGCGCAAGCCUGAUGCAGCAACGCCGCGUGAACGAUGAAGGUCUUCGGAUCGUAAAGUUCUGUUGCAGGGGAAGAUAAUGACGGUACCCUGUGAGGAAGCCCCGGCUAACUACGUGCCAGCAGCCGCGGUAAUACGUAGGGGGCUAGCGUUAUCCGGAUUUACUGGGCGUAAAGGGUGCGUAGGUGGUCUUUCAAGUCGAUGGUUAAAGGCUACGGCUCAACCGUAGUUAGCCUCCGAAACUGGAAGACUUGAGUGCAGGAGAGGAAAGUGGAAUUCCCAGUGUAGCGGUGAAAUGCGUAGAUAUUGGGAGGAACACCAGUAGCGAAGGCGGCUUUCUGGACUGCAACUGACACUGAGGCACGAAAGCGUGGGUAGCAAACAGG
rnacentral:rRNA from 1 species